rnacentral:rRNA from 1 species
GAUGAACGCUGGCGGUAUGCCUAACACAUGCAAGUCGUACGAGAGUUUUUAACUCUAGUGGCGGACGGGUGAGUAACACGUGAGAAUUUGCCUUUAGGAGGGGGAUAACAAUUGGAAACGAAUGCUAAUACCCCAUAUGCUUUUGAGUGAAAUGGAUUUUAUCCGCCUAGAGAGAAGCUCGCGGCUGAUUAGCUUGUUGGUAAGAUAAGAGCUUACCAAGGCGACGAUCAGUAUCUGGUUUGAGAGGACGAUCAGACACACUGGAACUGAGACACGGUCCAGACUCCUACGGGAGGCAGCAGUGGGGAAUUUUCCGCAAUGGGCGAAAGCCUGACGGAGCAAUACCGCGUGAGGGAAGAAUGCCUAUGGGUUGUAAACCUCUUUUUCAGGGAGGAAUCAAAUGACGUGUACCUGAAGAAUAAGCAUCGGCUAACUCCGUG